UGAAAUCCAUGAGCAUAGAGAUAUCGCUGGUAACUAGAUGUUACAGCGCUUGAACUACUUUAAAAUAAAUGGUUAUUUUUUCUUCUGUAUGCAAGCCAUGGGAUGUAGAUCUUACUAGCAAUGGUUAAACAGCAUUUUUAAGUGUCAUCUAACAUAGGACUGCUUACAGUUAAGAUUCUCAAGUGUCUGAAUAGUUUCUGUUAUGUUUAAGUAUAUCAUUAAUUGUUGGAGAUUUGCCCACAAUGAAGGCAUUAGUAGACUGGUUGCGUAACCUGUCCUGCAUCAGCAAGUCCAUGAAAUUUUGGGAAAUACAUGUGCUAGAAUCCAAGAAAAACAGUUUUCUUUAGUUCUCUCUCCCUCUAUGCUUGUGUGUUGGGUCAUGCAUAUGUUUGUAAGUCAGAUGUGCACUUAAUGCAUUCAACAUGACCAAGUGGCAGGCAUCUAAAAUGCAGUUUUUGCUUUAUAUUGGCAUACUUUAUGUUCAAGUACUAUAUGUGUAUUUAGUGGUGGAAUUUUAGUAGCAUGUUUUGAUGAAGGGGUGGUGUAGGCUGGAGGUAUAUCAUCUUGUACAGUUGGAAAGCUUGGUCACUAAUCCUCUCAAUAGGCAAUGGUAUUUCGAGGGAACAACAUAGAAGGGCUUCUUAGGGAGAUAGAUGAGAUGCUUCUCAUAGCUAUUUUUUAUAUAGAUGGAUUUAAAUCUUCGCUUUUGGUAUAAGAUGCAAUGCUGUGUGAUGUUCACAAUGUUUUUAGGUUUGUGGAUUUUUUUUAUCUUGUAAAUUAUUUUUUUAAUAUCUGCUCAUGAUUUAUAUCCAUAUUGGUGCCCUUUCCUAAGUUUUUUUGGUUCAUCCAAAAAGCAAAAGUCAUUUUAAAGGUUCCCUGCACUGAAGCAGUUGUAAUUUGUGCUCAUUUUUUCUGAUCUAAAUGUUCAACAGAUGAGCUUGCUGAUCAGAAAAUUACUGCACAGCAUGCUGAGGAAGGGUUUCGGGGAACACGUCUGACUGCAUAUCUUUCCCCACAAGUUGUUUAAGAUGUAUGAUGAAAAUAGUCGCCUUCAUGUCACAGACACCUUCUUGUACAUAUUAUGGGAGAGGAAAAAGCUUCAAUCUUUGACCUGCCCUAACGGAGAAUCAGCAGCUGGGCAUGGUGUUUUUGGCUUUCUGCUUUUUUAAGGGUGGCCCAACACUACUGUAGAGCUCCCAAAAUAUCUUGUAACAUUGGUAUUUAGUGACGUAUUGCCUCAUUCUAUACUUCUGCCCAACACUUAAAAAGGAAAUGAAUUGUUCAGCUGGUUUCGUGCUGUGCCAGAUUUCAGUUGCCUAGUUCUUCUGUGGUCCUUUUUAAUUUGCUAGAAUCAUGCCUUAUGAUAUGUUGCCCAUUUUUUCAUUGGAUUGAUUAACAAAUAGUUGGAGGGAAAACUCAAUAUUGCUUUGGAUAUUGCCAAGGGUGAUAAGAAGGCCUAUGAAAUGAAUUUCAAGUUUUGGAUAAAAAAUCUCCCUCGCAGUUCCCUGCCUUCCAGGGCCUUGUACUUCGCAUUUGAAUCGGG
rnacentral:misc_RNA from 1 species